rnacentral:piRNA from 1 species
GACAUUACAGACUUUGCCAAGCUAGCAU